rnacentral:rRNA from 1 species
GAUGAACGCUGGCGGCGUGCCUAAUACAUGCAAGUCGAGCGAACAGACGAGGAGCUUGCUCCUCUGACGUUAGCGGCGGACGGGUGAGUAACACGUGGAUAACCUACCUAUAAGACUGGGAUAACUUCGGGAAACCGGAGCUAAUACCGGAUAAUAUAUUGAACCGCAUGGUUCAAUAGUGAAAGACGGUUUUGCUGUCACUUAUAGAUGGAUCCGCGCCGCAUUAGCUAGUUGGUAAGGUAACGGCUUACCAAGGCAACGAUGCGUAGCCGACCUGAGAGGGUGAUCGGCCACACCGGAACUGAGACACGGUCCAGACUCCUACGGGAGGCAGCAGUAGGGAAUCUUCCGCAAUGGGCGAAAGCUUGACGGAGCAACGCCGCGUGAGUGAUGAAGGUCUUCGGAUCGUAAAACUCUGUUAUUAGGGAAGAACAAAUGUGUAAGUAACUAUGCACGCCUUGACGGUACCUAAUCAGAAAGCCACGGCUAACUACGUG